UACGGGGGGGGCAAGCGUUGUUCGGAAUUACUGGGCGUAAAGGGUGCGUAGGCGGCUUUCUAAGUCGGAUGUGAAAACUCUGGGCUCAACCCAGAGCCUGCAUCUGAAACUGGAGAGCUAGGGUUCUGGAGGGGAAAGCGGAAUUCCUGGUGUAGAGGUGAAAUUCGUAGAUAUUGGGAGGAACACCGAUGACGAAAACAACCAUCUAGGAAAACACUGACACUAAGACGCGAAAACGUGGAGAGCAAACAGG
rnacentral:rRNA from 1 species